AUUGAACGCUGGCGGCAGGCCUAACACAUGCAAGUCGAGCGGAGCGGCGGACGGGUGAGUAAUGCCUAGGAAUCUGCCUGGUAGUGGGGGAUAACGUCCGGAAACGGGCGCUAAUACCGCAUAAUAUCAGAUGAGCCUAGGUCGGAUUAGCUAGUUGGUGGGGUAAAGUCCUACCAAGGAGAAGAUCCGUAACUGGUCUGAGAGGCUGAUCAGUCACACUGGAACUGAGACACGGUCCAGACUCCUACGGGAGGCAGCAGGGGGAAAUAUUGGGCAAUGGGCGAAAGCCUGAUCAAGCCAUGCCGCGUAGGUGAAGAAGUUCUGCGGAUUGUAAAGCACUGGAAGUUGGGAGGCGUUACCAACAGAAUAAGCACCGGCUAACUUCGUGCCAGCAGCGGCGGUAAUAC
rnacentral:rRNA from 1 species